UAAGGUAGCAUAUAAUUUGCCCUUUAAUUGGGGGCUAGAAUGAAAGGAUAAACGAAAGAUAAGCUGUCUCUAUAACAAAAUUYUAAAUUUACCUUUAAGUGAAAAGGCUUAAAUAAAAUUAAAAGACAAAAAGACCCCAUAGAGCUUUGCUAAACACACAUAUAGAAAAAUUACACUACCUUUAUUUAUAUUAUACACAUAGCUUAACUGGGGCGGUUAAGGAACAAUAAACUUCCUAUUAAAUAAAAGGUUUAGACCAAUAAUGAUCCAAAAAAGAUUAAAAAAACAAGCUACCUUGGGGAUAACAGGCUUAUAUCUUUUAAGAGUACAAAUCGAAAAAGAAGUUUGGCACCUCGAUGUUGGCUUAGAGGAACCUUUAGGUAGUAGA
rnacentral:rRNA from 1 species